AACGAACGCUGGCGGCAGGCCUAACACAUGCAAGUCGAGCGAUGAACCUUUCAUGAAUUUUUCGGAAUGAUUGGAAGAGGAUUAGCGGCGGACGGGUGAGUAACGCGUGAGCAACCUGCCUUAAACAACGGGAUAGCCUCGGGAAACCGGGAUUAAUACCGUAUGAGACCCCGCCUUCACAUGAAGAAGAGGUUAAAGAUUUAUCGGUUUAAGAUGGGCUCGCGUCUGAUUAGCUAGUUGGUGAGAUAAAAGCCCACCAAGGCAACGAUCAGUAACCGGCUUGAGAGAGUGAACGGUCACAUUGGAAAUGAGACACGGUCAAAACUCAUACGGGAGGCAGCAGUGGGGAAUAUUGCACAAUGGGGGAAACCCUGAUGCAGCGACGCCGCGUGAGCGAUGAAGGAAUUCGUUCCGUAAAGCUCUGUCCAAGGGGAAGAUAAUGACAGUACCCUUGGAGGAAGCCCCGGCUAAAUACGUGCCAGCCGCCGCGGUAAAAC
rnacentral:rRNA from 1 species